GCUGGCAAUGCGGUGAAGUACGUAAUAACCUUUGGCUGUUAUUUUAGUGAUUAUUCUUCAAGAUUUCUUCUGAGAAGUCAUACAAAACAGGAAUGUAAAUUGCAAAAAAGACGCUGAGCAGGAAAGCACUACAGAAAGCCUUCCUCCAAAGGGGAUGUUUAUUUCAGAGACACACAGGGGGACGCUCAAGCAGCUGUCUUCCAGGAAAUCGUCCACAACCCAGGCGGUACCAAGUUUGUGAUAGAUGUUUCCGUGAUUGUUGGAUCGGUGCCUUUUCCCAAGUAGACCACGAGUUCCAGAGCUCUGACUCCCGGGAGAAGGAAGAGGACAGCCCCUCGGGGCCACACAGAAUGGACAGGCCAAGCGACAGGAGGGAGGCCGCCCGCGCUCCUCCAGGGCCUCGAGGAAGGCACAGUCACCCCUGCAAAACACAGCGCCCAUCUUUUUCAUCCGCUUUUACUUCUCAGGAGUCCCCGGUCCCCAGAGACCUGUUUUCACCUCCCCGGCUCGGCACACAUGUUUUCUACAUGAUAUUAACCGGUCGCCUUUGAAUCCGCACAUCCUGGUAUGCUUUGGAUUCACCGAGCUCAUUUUUACACACACACACACACACACGCACACCCACCCCGGAAUCUGUACUAGCUGACUGCCGGCAAAAGAAAACAUGAGUGUGGCUCUCUCUCCUUCUUUUAAACGGCUUAAUUGAGAUACAAUGUACACGCCAUAAAACUCACUUAAAGUGUGUUCUUGCCUGACUUUGCGUUUAUUUACUGGGGUGUGCAUUAGCUGUUUCUUCUUGAAAAAUGGGG